CAGGCGGCGGUUCGUAUUGGUACGAGACCGGUUUCUCGCCGGUGAACUCGAGGUAGUUCAAGUCUGCCUCGACCGUC
rnacentral:tRNA from 1 species